UACGUAGGGGGCAAGCGUUGUCCGGAAUUAUUGGGCGUAAAGAGCGCGUAGGCGGUCCGAUAAGUCGGCUGUGAAAGUCAGGGGCUCAACCCUUGGAAGCCGGCCGAUACUGUCGGACUAGAGUCCGGAAGAGGCGAGUGGAACUCCUGGUGUAGCGGUGGAAUGCGCAGAUAUCAGGAAGAACACCAACGGCGAAGGCAGCUCGCUGGGACGGUACUGACGCUGAGACGCGAAAGCGUGGGGAGCGAACAGG
rnacentral:rRNA from 1 species